GCGAAAGUGGCGGAAUUGGUAGACGCACUGGAUUUAGGUUCCAGCGCCGCGAGGUGUGGGGGUUCGAGUCCCCCCUUUCGCACCA
rnacentral:tRNA from 1 species